UAAAGUCAACAGUGACAGAGUUUGAGCUCAAAUAAAUGCCGUGAUGUCUGGAGCCCUUUGCAGAAGGCAGAAGGCGAGCUUCUACAAUGGGCUCCUGUGUGGCCUGCCAACAACAAGCAGCGGCUAUUUUGCGCAGAUUUUCUUUUUAAGGAAACUCUUCCCGUCAUCAAGCGGCCUGAAAGCGCUUUCCUGUCCAUGUACUUGGCGAUAUCUGCGACUGACCUGUCUGCUAUAUGUAAUAUCAAAGCCUCUGUCAGCGUGGAACUGAAUGGGGACAAAAGAGAGGCCUCCAUUAAUGAUUAACUGUUCUAAAAGCCCUGGCUUUUGUAUUCCCAUGGUGCCCAGGCUAUCUGGCCACCAUGUGACAUGCUCACAGCAUUUUUCGAGCAGAUUGGGGGAAAGCUAGUGAGCAAACACAGGUGCUUUGGAGCAGCGUUGCCGACGCUGUCAGGGACAACCACAAACAAGAGCAGCUAUGCCUGGCUAAAUGAAUCCCCACUCCUCCCUGCACCAUCACCACCCCCCUCUGUUCUGUCGCUAGCUUGUUUGCUAGCUCCCUAUAGCUUUCUCCCUGCAAAGCCUUCCUUUUGGACGGUCACCACACCCCCCUGCACAAGUCCAAUGUCUGCUACAGCUGGGCUCCACAACUUCUGACACCCUCCAAAGAAACAAACAAAUAAAAGUGAGGACGGCCGACCACUUCUUUGAGGUGAUGGCAUUUGCUGUGGUCAUGACUAGUGGGAGAGCAAACAAAUUAACGGUGUCCGAGUUUUCACUUUCCAAACCAAACUAAAUGUCUUUUAGUUCAAGUGGGGCAAUUCCACUGACCCUGGUGUCAAACGCUGCAUAAGGGUUGCACACUCUUGCACUUGAAAUCUUGAGAGGAGGCUGUAAGAAAUGAAACAGGCUUUGAGUAUUGGCCUACACGAGCCUGAUGUGGUGAGGUACCUCAAAGCGGGAGAGAAAAGCAACAAAAAACAUCUUGAAUAAGUUGUGUGAUUAAAUGUUUUUCUGUCCAAGUAUUGUGGCCUUUUUAACAAGAUGUGUCUAGAGAACUUAACCUUUUCAUCCAGCCCGACUGAUUGUUCAGAGUGUCUGGAGGUGCUGUGUCGCUCAACUUUGAUAAGACAAUCAGAUGAUAGGAUGGCGUUAUCUUAACACAGCUUUCCGGCCGGGAGACAAAUGAACAGCGUGUGAUAACAGGAACAAAAGCUCGGCUCUUAUUGGCCGGCUCCUCCAAAGAAAGGAAAAAUUAUCAGAGUGGAAAAUUUGCAACAGGCGCAGUUUAUUUCAUUUUCAAUUUUCUGCAGAGGCCGAGUCACAGGAACCGCUCUUUUUUUAAUCACUCAAAUAUUUAUAUUGUCUCUUGUGGGCAUUUUGGUUUGACAGUCUGCAAUUACCUGAGCCCGUAAAGCAGUUAUCACUGGAAAGAUGAUAAAAAUAUUUUAAAACAAACAUUUUAAAUCAGCAGGAGAGGAUAUUAAGUUGUAAAAGUGAGAAGCUCAGACAGGAAAAAAAAGGUCAGACAGGAGGUGUGAAAAAAUAGAGAGAAAUUGGAGAAAGAGUGGUGCUAAUGUCUGUGUGAGGAGGGAAAUAAUGGGUAAAGUUAAAAAAAAAAAAAAAAAGGUCAAAAGUAGUUUUCUACUAAUCCAUAAAACGCCACUUCUGUCAGUAUUUUCUGACUUUUGCAGCCCAAUUCUCAGAGCCAGAGAGGGGCGUGUAUACUCAAGGAUUCACUCAAGGCUUUGUUUGCUCUAUUCCUCAAAAAAAUGAUUGGAAAAAAUAUUGGUGCCCUGCUAUGACAUUUUUGUUAGAAGUAAAAAAAAAUGUUGGAGCUGUGAAGAAACCACAUGAAUAAAAUAUUUUUAAGGAAA